rnacentral:rRNA from 1 species
AUUGAACGCUGGCGGCAUGCCUUACACAUGCAAGUCGAACGGUAACGCGGGGCAACCUGGCGACGAGUGGCGAACGGGUGAGUAAAGCAUCGGAACGUGCCCAGUAGUGGGGGAUAGCCCGGCGAGAGCCGGAUUAAUACCGCAUACGACCUAUGGGUGAACGGGGGGGAUCGCAAGACCUCUCGCUAUUGGAGCGGCCGAUGUCAGAUUAGGUAGUUGGUGGGGUAAAGGCCUACCAAGCCGACGAUCUAUAGCUGGUCUGAGGGGACGACCAGCCCCACUGGGACUGGGACACGGGCCAGACUCGUGCGGGAGGGAGCAGUGGGGAAUUUUGGACAAUGGGCGCAAGCCUGAGCCAGCCAUGCCGCGUGCGGGAAGAGGGCCUUCGGGUUGUAAACCGCUUUUGUCAGGGAAGAAAUCCUUUGGGUUAAUACCUCGGGGGGAUGACGGUACCUGAAGAAUAAGCACCGGCUAACUACGUGCCAGCCGCCGCCGUAA